rnacentral:lncRNA from 1 species
AGAACACGGUCGCGGGCUGGCGCGAAUGGGUGAAGAAGCACCCGUGGCACCCGCACCUCGCCGAUGACGUUUCCGCCGUUGCAUAUUCCAAGUUCGAAAUGCCCGGGUGCUUCCAUGUGCUCCUGACCACCAACCGCAUGCUCAAGAGCAUCGUCGAGCAGCGCCGCUACCAUCACGCGUACAAGCAGGCCGACGCCACCUGGAAGAUAACAUGGGAGGGGCAUCCGCUGUUAGUCAUGGGCACGGUGGACUGGGGACAGAGAUUCAUCCCCUCCGCUUUCAUGCUGUCCAGGUCUGAAACCGACGACGAUUACGGCAGCAUGGAGGAGGCUGUCUACAACUGCCUCGUGCAGAUGUAUCCCGCGCGGACGCCCGACGGAGAGCUCGCCCGCGCCAUACCUAUCCUCUGCUCGGACGGCGCGUUGGCGAUAAAGAACGGAGACAUGGCCGCGGCCAUGAGGACGGGUCGGAGCGCGGGGUACACGGACUGGGAUUACGACAAGAUGCUCACCUGCUGGUUCCACGUGAACCAGGGGGUGGAGAAGAACGCCAGAGCCGCGCUGACAGGCUCCGCGGAACAGAAGAAGACCAUGUACGCGGAGUUCAAGGGCGACCUUUGGCUGCUGCACAUGCUGCCGUAUGGCUUCCGGACCGCCUUCGACGUCCUGUGCGAGUCGCUGGGAGAGAAGUGGAAGAAGCGUGAUCAGCCGGCGUUGUGGGAAUGGUUUGAGACGGGAUGGCUGGGCCCGAGGAAGAGAUGGUCGAGGGCAUAUGCUCCCGUGGGCCUCCCGAGCACCUCGAAUCAGACCGAGCGACACAACCGCACGCUCAAGGAAAUCAUGCAGCGCUUACGGUCCGGCGCGAACACGUUCAUCGGCCAGUUGCAGGAGCACGUCGGGUACUGGUCGAAAUAUAUGAUGAAACCGAACGCCAUUCCCAGCGGGCCACAGGUCAACGGCGACAUGUGGGAAGAGGUGGAGGUGAGUACCCCGACCCAAAGCCCCGCUCACGCCCCGUACUGACCGCGCACAAACUCACCUCGCAGAAAUACAUGAAGAACGUGGACAUCCCCGAGCUCGAGGCAAUUGCGCAUGGUGAUCUUGCUCUCUAUCCCUCGGGAGCAACGAUGAAGUUCCUGAGGCAACGCGACGCGGAGAAGGGGUACGCCACCGUCGCCGAGCGCAAGGAACGGAUCCUCGCGGACGGGCUCGCCCUCGCCGAGAAGUGUGCGGACAUGUGGGUGAAGCUGCGCGACCUGAAAUAUGGGGAGGGGUGCGAGGUGAGUCCGGCGGACUUCGACAGCGUCAUGAGCAUCUUUCACAGCUUUAGGGUGCUCACGCCGCUGGAGCGCCCGUGGGAGAGUGACUGUCCGUCGAUGUACCAGUGCUGGUCGUGUCCGGACGGGGUGAAGCACGGUGUGUGCAAGCACGCUCUCGUACACACAGUCCAUAUGAACCCAAGCGUAUGGCCGAGUGAGCGCACCAAGCUGACCGCGCUGAGGAAGCGAGGGAAAGGGGCGCCCCAGAAGACGAAGGCUGCGCUGCAGUUCCAUCUCGAUGAGUUCUUACCGUCUCUCGAGGAUAUCGCGGACGUUGUUCCGACGCUCGGCAAGCGUCAGUCCGAUUCGCUGACCGCACCGGCAGCACCUACGCGCAGGUCAGCGCGGACGGCGGUGCCAGCACCCAUCGUAGACAUGUGAGGGGCGUGGCGCGCGUGUGAGAGGGUGAGAGGUAGAUUCGUCGUUUUUACUUGGUGCCUGACCGGUGCCUGACUCAAGAAACUCCGUAUAAAAUUAGACCGUCAAACCCGUGUGGCCUACUACCAGACCUGUGUGGCCCACAAAAAUUUUUUUCCGCGUAGUUGCUAUGCGAGUUCAAAACUCAGGCUUUCAUCAUGUAUAUGUAUACAACUAUACAUGCAUGCAUGUUUAUUUUAUGGUCACCAUACAUAUGCAUGCAUAUUUCUAGCUAGCUAGAUGAAAAUAACAAC